CUUCCUGAUCUGAUGCGUAGCAUUUGCUGCAUGAGUGAAUUCCGGAGUAUAGGUUUGCCCUGGCAAAUGUAUACACCUCAUGCUAGCCUCAUGAAACUGGAAUAAGCCUUUGAAAAGAAAUUUGUCCUUGAAGCUUGUAUCUAAUAUCAGCACCGGAUUGUAGAACUUGUUGCUAAUCUUGACCUUGUAUCCAAGUUAACUGUUCCCUUGGUAUAUGUUUAAUACCCUGUACAUAUCUUUGAUUUAAACCCUUAGCACAUGCGGCUCAGUCAGUUCGUGGCUGAGGUUGAGAUCACGUUGAUGGAAGAGAAAUCCAUUGAUUGGAGAAUCUGCAAGACCAUGAGGCUCUUGAUCUGUGCAGGGUAUUAAUGUCUAAGAGCUGCCUAUUCCAGGAUUUCUCUGGAGGCUGACAAGAGUCCUGAAUGAGUUGUCAUUUCUGUCUUGCCGGUCUAACAGGGUUGGGAAGGUCCGAGCCUCAAGACCCACUUUUCCUUUCUUACCUGAUGUUUUCCUGCCAGAACACCGUGGGUUGUUAAUUGCCUUGAGUUGGAAAACGGUUUGCAUUUACAACUGUAAAUUUAUUCAUCCUUUUAAUUUAUGUAAGGUU